rnacentral:rRNA from 1 species
UACGGGGGGAGCAAGCGUUGUUCGGAUUUACUGGGCGUAAAGGGCGCGUAGGCGGUCAGCACAAGUCAGUUGUGAAAUCUCCGAGCUUAACUCGGAACGGUCAACUGAUACUGUGCGACUAGAGUGCGGAAGGGGCAACUGGAAUUCUCGGUGUAGCGGUGAAAUGCGUAGAUAUCGAGAGGAACACCUGCGGCGAAGGCGGGUUGCUGGGCCGACACUGACGCUGAUGCGCGAAAGCGUGGGGAGCAAACAGG